rnacentral:snoRNA from 2 species
UUUAGCUAUGAUGACAAUGUGUAUCCCAGCUCAUUAUGAGGCCUUUUUGUAAGGUCUGGGAAUUUAACCUUCCACACAUUUAUCUGAGCUUUUC